GCUUUUGGUUCAGUGGUAGAAUUCUCGCCUGCCAUGCGGGCGCCCCGGGUUUGAUUCCCGGCCGAUGCU
rnacentral:tRNA from 1 species